GAGCACGUAGGUGGGUUUGUAAGUCAGGUGUGAAAGCCUUCUGUUCAAAGGAAGAACGGCAUCUGAAACUGCAGAUCUUGAGUGUAGGAGGGGAGAGUGGAACUUCUGGUGGAGCGGUGAAAUGCGUAGAUAUCAGAAGGAACGUCGGCGGCGAAAGCGACUCUCUGGCCUAUUACUGACACUGAGUGUGCGAAAGUUAGGGGAGCAAACGGGAUUAGGUACCCCGGUAGUCCUAACCGUAAACGAUGGGCACUAAGUAGAGGG
rnacentral:rRNA from 1 species